UACAGAGGAGCCAAGCGUUGUCCGGAUUGACUGGGCGUAAAGCGCACGCAGGCGGUCGUGCGCGUGGGGUGUGAAAUCUGGCCGCUUAACGGCCAGGCGCCAUCCCAUACGGCGCGACUGGAGGGCUGCAGAGGUCGAUGGAAUUGCCGGUGUAGUGGUGAAAUGCGUAGAGAUCGGCAGGAACACCCAGGGGGAAACCAGUCGACUGGGCAGCACCUGACGCUGAGGUGCGAGAGCGUGGGGAGCGAACCGG
rnacentral:rRNA from 1 species